rnacentral:lncRNA from 1 species
CAACAACAAAGAAAAGAUGGGAGAUGAAGGGAAGCAGGUGCAAAGGGCUGGAUUUGAAAUCCUGAGAUGAUAAAGGUCAACACCCAAAGGCUCAAAACCCUUCUCCAAACCCUCAUCUGAGCUCACCCAGCACCUGUGACGGGGGCCCACCUGCAUAGAAAGACACUCAAUUGGAUGUUCAUCACUGCAUUGCGUAUAACACUGUGAAGCAGGCUACGUGUCCAUCAGUAGGAGAGCAGAUAAUAAAAUGGGGUCUAUGCAUAGGCUGAUACCAGCCCAUAUAUCCACCCAGAAG